CUCCAGUUGAUCGCAUGGUCUUCUGGGAAAGCUUUCGCGGUAUGGGAUGGGGUCGCGUCCUAUCAGCUUGACGGCGGGGUAACGGCCCACCGUGGCUUCGACGGGUAGCCGGCCUGAGAGGGCGACCGGCCACAUUGGGACUGAGAUACGGCCCAGACUCCUACGGGAGGCAGCAGUGGGGAAUAUUGCACAAUGGGCGCAAGCCUGAUGCAGCGACGCCGCGUGAGGGAUGGAGGCCUUCGGGUUGUAAACCUCUUUUAUCGGGGAGCAAGCGAGAGUGAGUUUACCCGUUGAAUAAGCACCGGCUAACUACGUGCCAGCAGCCGCGGUAAUACGUAGGGUGCAAGCGUUAUCCGGAAUUAUUGGGCGUAAAGGGCUCGUAGGCGGUUCCUCGCGUCCGGUGUGAAAGUCCAUCGCUUAACGGUGGAUCCGCGCCGGGUACGGGCGGG
rnacentral:rRNA from 1 species